AAGUCGUAACAAGGUUUCCGUAGGUGAACCUGCGGAAGGAUCAUUACCUAGAGUUGUAGGCUUUGCCUGCUAUCUCUUACCCAUGUCUUUUGAGUACCUUCGUUCUCCGUCGGGUCGGUCCGCCGCUGAUUGACAUUAACUUGCAGUUGCAAUCAGCGUCUGAAAAACAUAAUAAUACAA
rnacentral:misc_RNA from 1 species